UUGAACGCUGGCGGCAGGCCUAACACAUGCAAGUCGAACGGUAACAGGAAGAAGCUUGCUUCUUUGCUGACGAGUGGCGGUCGGGUUAGUAAUUUCUGGGAAACUGCCUGAUGGAGGGGGAUAACUUCUGGAAACGGUAGCUACUACCGCAUAACGUCGCACGACCCAAGCGGGGGACCUUCGGGCCUCUUGCCAUCUGAUGUGCCCCGAUGGGAUUAGCUAGUAGGUGGGGUAACGGCUCACCUAGGCGACGAUCACUAGCUGGUCUGAGAGGAUGACCAGCAAAACGGGAAGGGAGACAAGGUCCAGAAAACUACGGGAGGCAGCAGUGGGGAAUAUGGAACAAUGGGCGAAAGCCUGAUGCAGCAAUGCCGCGGGGAUGAAGAAGGCCAUCGGGUUGUAAAGUAAUUUCAGCGGGGAGGAAGGGAGUAAAGUUAAUACCUUUGCAGAAUGACGUUACCCGCAGAAGAAGCACCGGCUAACUCCGUG
rnacentral:rRNA from 1 species